rnacentral:rRNA from 1 species
UUGGGAAUCUUGGACAAUGGGCGAAAGCCUGAUCCAGCCAUGCCGCGUGAGUGAUGAAGGCCUUCGGGUUGUAAAGCUCUUUUGCCAGGGACGAUAAUGACUGUACCUGGAGAAUAAGCCCCGGCUAACUUCGUGCCAGCAGCCGCGGUAAUACGAAGGGGGCUAGCGUUGUUCGGAAUUACUGGGCGUAAAGCGUGCGCAGGCGGUUUCUCAAGUCAGGGGUGAAAGCCCGGAGCUCAACUCCGGAAUUGCCUUUGAAACUGUGAAGCUAGAGUGCGGGAGAGGUGAGUGGAAUUCCCAGUGUAGAGGUGAAAUUCGUAGAUAUUGGGAAGAACACCGGUGGCGAAGGCGGCUCACUGGCCCGUUUCUGACGCUCAUGCACGACAGCGUGGGGAUCAAACA